rnacentral:rRNA from 1 species
UCCCAGUUCGGAUUGUAGUCUGCAACCCGACUACAUGAAGCUGGAAUCGCUAGUAAUCGCAGGUCAGCAUACUGCGGUGAAUACGUUCCCGGGUCUUGUACACACCGCCCGUCACACCAUGGGAGCCGGAAAUGCCCGAAGCCAGUGACCCAACCUUAGGGAGGGAGCUGUCGAAGGUGGAGCCGGUAACUGGGGCGAAGUCGUAACAAGGUAAC